AUGGAUGCCCACCGUCACCGCAGCUUGUUCGUCGUCGUCGUCGUGGCUGUCGCUGCGAUAAUCUUCACCAUGGGCUUCGUGCGGUGUGCCGAUGCCGCACGACCCGUGCCACCGAGCCCGGCGUCGUCCUCAACGGCGUCCGCGCUGGUGUCGUCGUUGAUGGAGAUGCUACCCAUGGGGCCGAGCGGAGGAGGCGCGGGGCACUGA
rnacentral:rRNA from 1 species